UGCCUCUCCAGCCAGUAAUUGGUCAGCACGGUUUAAGCCCAGCGCACGAGGAGGCGGCGACGGCGGAAUCGGGACCGGAACCGGGACCGGGACCGUCGGCCUUGUGGUCUUUCUUCCACUUCAUCCUCCGGUUCUGAAACCAGAUCUUGAUCUGGCGCUCCGUCAGGCACAGCGCGUGCGCUAUCUCGAUGCGCCUCCUGCGGGUCAGGUACCGGUUGAAGUGGAACUCCUUCUCCAGCUCGAGCGUCUGGUACCGCGAGUACGUCUGGCGACCUCGCUUCCUCUCCGGAUCUGCACAAGUAAAAAAAAAAAAAAAAACAUGGCGCCCAAAUUGUCCAGGGUGAACGACAUCCACGGAAUUAGGGAAACAAGGAGAUACCCUCUCCCUCCGCCACGGUGCAUUUCGAAACACGAAGUCACAGAGCCGAACGAAACGACAAAGUAGCCUGUCAAUAUUUCCAAAAGUGUAGCUUACAAACCAACGAGGUAGCCUACGCAUUGACAGCUAAACUCAGUAGGCUAAUCACGCUCCUGUUUGAGAGAAAUGGCAAUAAACAUGUUUUCCACUGAC